CAACUAAUAGAAAGGAGAGGGCAUGUUGGCCAUUCCACUGUAGCGGCCCUAUUAGGUACUGUUCAUACCGGAUGCAAGAGGGGGAGGGAUUUUUCGUGGUUUUGGGUUUUCCGCCGCCAUGGAGAAGAUUUCCUUCUCUUUCACGCUCCCCACCGGCCGUUGGUCGUCGGCCUCUGCUUCCGUUCAUCUCCCUCUCCUCCACAUCACCGUCGCCACACGAUCUGCCCCUCUUCUCUCUUCUUCUCCUCCUCUCGCUGCAGCCGCCAGGAACUUUCUCCACUCUCAUGCUCCUCGCGCGGCGCCGACGUCGGCCGGUGGCCUCCACCUCUUCUCCUCCCUUUCUCCCCCUCGUGCUCAACUCCUCGUCGGAGAGACCGGCCCACCUUUCUUCUUCUUCCUCCUCGCGACGUCGUCGCGGGACCAGCUACUGCCCCUUCUUCCUUCUCCUCAUAGCACCGGCAGCAACCUCAUCCGUCGGAGAUACCGCCAACACAUCUAACGACGCCUCACUGUUGUCGUUGGCCAUCUGUCGCCUCCGACCCUUUCUUCUUCUCCACGCCUUUGUCGUCGCCGGCCUCCCCGACACCAUCACGUCGCCUCCUUCGUCGCCCCCGAGCCGCCAAUGGAGGGUCGGACCUGUUCCUUUUCCCUCUCCUCCUCACUCCAUUGUCACUGCACGGACUCACUAGACGACGCCGCAGCUUCUUCUUCUCUCUUCUCCCGACGGUCACGCCAGCACCUUCACUUCCUCUCGCGGACAGCCCCAACGAGGAGCCUGUUCACCGGCAGUCCUCUCUCCCUCUCUGUGCCGACAACAUCGGCGCCACCUCUCUCCUUCUCCUUCGCACGAGGUGUUGCUGCCUCCAGCCCUGUUGCCAUCGCCGACCAGCCUCCGGCCACCCAAGACUCGCUCCAGCACAGAAGGCAGUGUUGUUGCGCGGCAUGGCACUUGCUACGACGUUGUUGGCCGACCUGCUGUCUCGACGGACCUCACAACGUCAUUACCGCUGCCGACAGCUGCGCUGGAUUCCAUCAUCUAGGGCCCUUGUCUUUAGGUCCGACGUCGAUCCCGCUCUCGAUCUGAGCCCUCCGAGCCCUCACUGUUAUUAUGUUCCGACUCGAUGCAUGUGAUGUUUUUAUGCUUUGGUCAUUGUGCCGAUAUUGUAUCCCGGCCUGCGUGUCGGUCUCAUUUCCCGACCUGUAUGCUGAUUUAGUGUCCCGGCCUGCGUGUCGGUCUCGUUUCCCGACCUAUAUGCUGAUUUCCUGUCCCAGCCUGCGUGCCGCUAGUACCCCCGGUCUGCGUGUCGGUGUUUUAUCCCGACUUGCAGUUUGUCUUUCGGUUCCAUGCCGCGUUCGACUCUGCAUCAUCAGAUCCAGCUCUUCAACUUGAUCGGGCGUCGUCUGUUCUUCUGGGUCUCGACAACUCGAGCCCCGUCCCAUCCGAGGGCGCCCCCUGGGCCAGGGUACGUUUUCUGUACUCACCUUUUAUUUAUUUCAUUAUUAUAUUAUUAGCUGGUUACUUAUAUGUUCGUUGGAUCCGCCUCGAGCCUCGAGGUACCAGGGACCGGGGGGACCCGGUUGCUUGUUGCAGGUAGCGUUGACCAUAGGACUUUGGACGAUUCGGUCAACGUAGGAGUCAUCUCAUCAUACCCCCCCCUCCGGGACGUCGCGACUCGGUCGACAUUUCAACCACCUCACCCGGCGGUCUGUCUGACUCAACUUCCGGAUGGGAUCAAUUUGGCGCCGUCUGUGGGAACACAUGCACCUGUUCUAGAACAUGAAGAUGGACGACGUCGGAAGAUUCUAUGCUAUUAUCACAAUCCCGGAGGAUCUCGACGCAUAUAUUAUCUUCUAUCCUCACUCCACCGGUAUUCGGGAGUCGAGGGAUCGAGUGGAGCUUCAGUUGGUUGACAGGAAUUGGAUUCAGAUGGUGUGUUGACAAUGAAAAUUCAAUCGCUUCUGAGUAGUUAUGAGUUUGCUCUUCUAUUACAUAUGAGAAGAACAGCGAACAAAGCAACACACUUAUUAUCAUGGAGAGUGCCUAAUUCUAAUUUUAAUUUUGAAUGGCUAGAAGGGAUUUAUCUUAGUUGGAGCAAACGAUUUAAAGUCUUCGUCUUGAUGAAUGUAUAGUAGUAUUUGGUAAAAAAAAAACUACGGGAUUAAAGUUGAGUGUGGCAAGAGAUUGAAGGGCGCACUCAAAGUUAUCGGAUUUCUAUAUCUAACUUUUAGAUUUCUCAAAUCAAAUGGUACUCUUGUUCCUCAUUUUACUUUCAUGUCAA